rnacentral:lncRNA from 1 species
AAUGUAUUCCCGCAUUAUACCGGUGGGCGACCUAGAACUUAAAUGUAUUCCCACAUUAUACCGGUGGGCGACCUAGAACUUAAAUGUAUUCCCGCAUUAUACUGGUGGGCGACCUAGAACUUAAAUGUAUUCCCGCAUUAUACUGGUGGGCGACCUAGAACUGAAAUGUAUUCCCGCAUUAUACUGGUGGGCGACCUAGAACUUAAAAGUAUUCCCGCAUUAUACUGGUGGGCGACCUAGAACCUAAAA